ncrna:unclassified sequences Glutamine riboswitch
UUCGUUCAUUUUGAUUAUUUUCAAAACGGAAGUAGACAUAAGUCGAAGGAACGCGUG